GACCGCGUAGCUCAGUUGGCAGAGCAUUGCGCUGGUAUUCCAAAGGUCGUAGGUUCGAUUCCCACCGUGGCCG
rnacentral:tRNA from 1 species